UACGUAGGUGGCAAGCGUUGUCCGGAUUUACUGGGCGUAAAGAGCGCGCAGGCGGUCGUCCAAGUCGCGUGUGAAAGCCCCCGGCUCAACUGGGGAGGGUCACGCGAUACUGGUCGACUCGAAGGCAGGAGAGGGUAGUGGAAUUCCCGGUGUAGUGGUGGAAUGCGCAGAUAUCAGGAGGAACACCGAUGGCGAAGGCAGCUCGCUGGGACGGUACUGACGCUGAGGCGCGAAAGCGUGGGGAGCGAACAGG
rnacentral:rRNA from 1 species